UCAUGGUCUUGACUCCACAUGCUUGACUCUUACCAUAGUUUCCUAUGAGUAUGAACUUUAUCCAAAGUUUAUUUUAUUGUUAAGUAGUGUUCGUAGUACUAGUAGUAUAGUUAGUUUAUUCCACCUAACCAUUUUUUAAUCCGCUAAAAUAUAGCAGUACCAACUUGGGAAUUAACGUAGAAAUCUAAAAGCGCCUCUCGGUUUUUCCAUUGGAAGCAGAGGCGGUGUGUUGUACUGAAGGGAGGAUUUAUGACAACAAUAUGGCAAUUAUUGUGAAAUUUUCAUUUAAUUAUUUCAGAAACCUCACCUUCUGAGAUAACCAGCAGUAAAACCAUACAAGCAAGAAUUAAACAAACUAAUGGUCAAUUAUAAUAACCUUGCUUCUUAUUUUAAUCCACAAACUGUUCUGGAGACUAUUCUGUACUGAAUAUUGUUGAAUCUUUGAACAUUCUUAAUUCUGGAUGGUCCUUGGUUUUUGGUGGAUCAGGAUUUAUAUAAGAAUUACAUUGACUUAGUGUAAUUGAACGCACCUAUACAAUCUUCUGAUAUCUAUGCAUCAUUGGUAUAGAAAGAAUUUUCAUCUAUGGGACGUCCGAUUCAUCGCAUCUCGAAUCUUGCACAUGCAUUUGUCUAUGGCUUGCAUUCUUCCACGAGACGACUACAAAGCGCCAUUUAUCUGUCCAGAAAUAAUAACUACAUCUGAAGACUUGCUUUGAGAUGAUAUCCUUGGAUUCAAUGGACAAGCUACUUACCGAUUUGUAGCAACCAGACAUAUUUUUAUUACCAAGAAAGCUUGUAACGAGCUGGUCAAAACAAUCAUAAGAUACAGGGUGCUUACAAUGGUGUCUAUUAAAUCAUAUUAAAUGUACAUGGAGAGGAUUAAUCAAAGGGGAAAUGUGGAGAAGCACGGUCUCCAAUCAUGCUUGUUUUGGGUGUUUAUGCAAAUGGGUUGUUUGUGGAAAGGGAUGCCAUUUAAACAUAUUAAAUGAAGAAGGAGACAAAAAGUAAAAAAGGAUUCAAAACAUGGAGAAUUGGAGCCCCUUUAAUGUUCCCGCCCCUUGGCUGUGAAAGAUCAUCUGACAAAUGAGAGAGAAUUAAAGUUCAGUUUGUGAUGGUACUGAAAUAAUAUCUACAAUGGUGCUGCCUUUGCUGUUUUCGUCUUCACCUUGCAACGUUAUGCAGUUAAUUUUCAAGGGAUGAGUGAGAGCAACUGAAGAUUUAUGCGAAUUCUACUGAAAUAACAAAUUUUCUGCAUUGGCAUUCCUCUUGGAUUUGAUUUGCUUUUCACACCUGCAAACUUUGGAACAUUACG
rnacentral:lncRNA from 1 species